GAUGAACGCUGGCGGCGUGCCUAAUACAUGCAAGUCGAGCGAACGGACGAGAAGCUUGCUUCUCUGAUGUUAGCGGCGGACGGGUGAGUAACACGUGGAUAACCUACCUAUAAGACUGGGAUAACUUCGGGAAACCGGAGCUAAUACCGGAUAAUAUUUUGAACCGCAUGGUUCAAAAGUGAAAGGCGGUCUCGCUGUCACUUAUAGAUGGAUCCGCGCUGCAUUAGCUAGUUGGUAAGGUAACGGCUUACCAAGGCAACGAUGCAUAGCCGACCUGAGAGGGUGAUCGGCCACACUGGAACUGAGACACGGUCCAGACUCCUACGGGAGGCAGCAGUAGGGAAUCUUCCGCAAUGGGCGAAAGCCUGACGGAGCAACGCCGCGUGAGUGAUGAAGGUCUUCGGAUCGUAAAACUCUGUUAUUAGGGAAGAACAUAUGUGUAAGUAACUGUGCACAUCUUGACGGUACCUAAUCAGAAAGCCACGGCUAACUACGUG
rnacentral:rRNA from 1 species